UACGGAGGGGGCUAGCGUUGUUCGGAUUUACUGGGCGUAAAGCGCACGUAGGCGGCUUAGAUAGUCAGGCGUGAAAGCCCCGGGCUCAACCUGGGAAUAGCGCUUGAUACUGCUAAGCUAGAGUCCGGGAGAGGGUAGUGGAAUUCCCAGUGUAGAGGUGAAAUUCGUAGAUAUUGGGAGGAACACCAGUGGCGAAGGCGGCUCACUGGCUCGAUACUGACGCUGAGGUGCGAAAGCGUGGGGAGCAAACAGG
rnacentral:misc_RNA from 1 species